AAAGCUAGAUUGGUUGGAAUGGAAGUCUAUUAUUUCUAGUAUUGGAUAGAAUUUAUAUGAUUUGGAUGGUCUUUUGAAAGUGUACGAUUAUACUUUGUUGUUAUUAGUUGAUGAAGGAGUAUUGUUAGUAGGAAAAAAUAUUGUAGUAUUUUUUGGUGUUUUUAGUGGUUUGGAAUAUAGUUAAUUGUGUGACCUUAAUGUGUAAGCUCAUGUGGUUAGUCUUUUCCUAUAUUUGAAUCCUUCUCUACAGAUUUAUUCUAAAAGAAAUUUGUAGAAUAAGUAAAAUAAAAAUCACAGUGAUAAUAUAGCUCUAAUAUAAA
rnacentral:lncRNA from 1 species